rnacentral:rRNA from 1 species
CUCAGGACGAACGCUGGCGGCGUGCCUAACACAUGCAAGUCGAGCGAUGAAACCCUUCGGGGUGGAUUAGCGGCGGACGGGUGAGUAACACGUGGGUAACCUGCCUCAAAGAGGGGGAUAGCCUCCCGAAAGGGAGAUUAAUACCGCAUAACAUUAGUUUUUCGCAUGGAGAACUAAUUAAAGGAGUAAUCCGCUUUGAGAUGGACCCGCGGCGCAUUAGCUAGUUGGUGAGGUAAAGGCUCACCAAGGCGACGAUGCGUAGCCGACCUGAGAGGGUGAUCGGCCACAUUGGAACUGAGACACGGUCCAGACUCCUACGGGAGGCAGCAGUGGGGAAUAUUGCACAAUGGGCGAAAGCCUGAUGCAGCAACGCCGCGUGAGUGAUGAAGGCCUUCGGGUUGUAAAGCUCUGUCUUUUGGGACGAUAAUGACGGUACCAAAGGAGGAAGCCACGGCUAACUACGUGCCAGCAGCCGCGGUAAUACGUAGGUGGCGAGCGUUGUCCGGAUUUACUGGGCGUAAAGGAUGCGUAGGCGGAUUUUUAAGUGAGAUGUGAAAUACCCGGGCUUAACUUGGGUGCUGCAUUUCAAACUGGAAGUCUAGAGUGCGGGAGAGGAGAGUGGAAUUCCUAGUGUAGCGGUGAAAUGCGUAGAGAUUAGGAAGAACACCAGUGGCGAAGGCGACUCUCUGGACCGUAACUGACGCUG